rnacentral:tRNA from 1 species
CAGAAAAUAGUUUNAUGNAGAAUAUCAGCUUUGGGAGCUGGAGGUGAGGGUUUAACUCCCUUUUUUCUGA